CAGUAGCCACGGGAAUACGAAGGGGGCUAGCGUUGUUCGGAUUUACUGGGCGUAAAGCGCACGUAGGCGGAUCCUUAAGUCAGAGGUGAAAUCCCAAGGCUCAACCUUGGAACUGCCUUUGAUACUGGGGAUCUCGAGUCCGGGAGAGGUGAGUGGAACUGCGAGUGUAGAGGUGAAAUUCGUAGAUAUUCGCAAGAACACCAGUGGCGAAGGCGGCUCACUGGCCCGGAACUGACGCUGAGGUGCGAAAGCGUGGGGAGCAAACAGGAUUAGAUACCCCCGUAGUCCCUGUCUCUUAUAC
rnacentral:rRNA from 1 species